rnacentral:lncRNA from 1 species
AUUUGAUUUAGAAUUAGGAUUGAAUUAGGAUUUAGGAUUUGAUUAAGGUUUGGUAAGGAUUUAAGAUUGGACUAAGGUUUAAGAUUUGAUUUAGGAUUUUUUUAGGAUUUAGAAUUUAGGAUUUAGACUUUGGGUAAGCUUUGGUCAAGAUUGAGGAUUGGACUAGGGUUUCAGAUUUGAUUUAGGAUUUGCUUAAAAUUUAGGAUUUAGGAUUUGCUAAGAGUUAAAGAUUUGCUUAGGAUUUAGAAUUUAGCCUAAAAUUUGAUUAAAGUUCAUUGGGAUUUUAAUUAGGAUUAAAUUAGGACUUGAUUGAGAUUUAUUUAAGAUAUAUUUGGAAUUAUUCUAAUAUUUCUUUAAGGUUUCUGAGAAAUUCUUUUAAUAUUUAUUGUCGAUUUUUUUUAACUCUAAGAGUUUUUAUUAUUUUUUUUGUAAUUUUUUUAAGUUUUUUUUUGAAUUUGAUUAAGCUUACUUAGCAUUGUUGAGGUUUAAUUAGAGUUUAUUUAAUAUUCUAUUAGAGUUAAGAUUUU